CCACUUCAUUAUUGCUAUCUCCUAAAUUUUUUUCUUUUUUUAUUGAAAUCGAAUCAAAGAGCCCUACUUCUCUUUCGUUACAAAAUCACUUCUUUUUCAUGACAAAUAAUUUUUAUAGUGCAGUUCUUCUAAUUUCUAAUUAGAGAAUUAAAGAAUUGAAUAUCAAAAUUUUAGUCUCUUGAUCUUAAAAAUUUUAAUUCUUUCUUUUAGUAAUAAUAAAUUCA
rnacentral:lncRNA from 1 species